UAACCAGGUUUUCCGAAGGAAAAAACUGGUUAUUAGAUUGGCGAAUGCGGGCGGGCUGGCUGGCUGGCGGGCUGGCGAAAUAAGCUUGUCCGGGCCAUAACUAUGUCGUUCAUUGUCAGAUUUUAAAAUCAUUUGGCACAUUUGUUCACCAUCAUUGGACGGUGUGUCACGCAAAAUAAUUACGUCGAUAUCUCCAAGGUCAAGGUCACACUUUGAGUUCAAAGGUCAAAAAUGGCCAUAAAUGAGCUUGUCCUGGCCAUAACUAUGUCAUUCAUUGUGAGAUUUUAAAAUCAUUUGGCACAUUUGUUCACCAUCAUGGGACGGUGUGUCCCACGAAAGAAUCACGUCAAUAUCUCCAAUGUCAAGGUCGCCACGACUAAAAAUAGAUUUAAAAAAAAAAAAAAAUUACAAAGGGGGUUAAUUUUUUUUGGUCAUUUCAAAAGUU